AUUAUACCGUGAAACUGCGAAUGGCUCAUUAAAUCAGUUAUCGUUUAUUUGAUAGUACCUUACUACUUGGAUAACCGUGGUAAUUCUAGAGCUAAUACAUGCUAAAAACCCCAACUUCGGAAGGGGUGUAUUUAUUAGAUAAAAAACCAACGCCCNUUCGGGGCUUCUUGGUGAUUCAUGAUAACUUUACGGAUCGCAUGGCCUUGCGCCGGCGACGGUUCAUUCAAAUUUCUGCCCUAUCAACUUUCGAUGGUAAGGUAUUGGCUUACCAUGGUUUCAACGGGUAACGGGGAAUUAGGGUUCGAUUCCGGAGAGGGAGCCUGAGAAACGGCUACCACAUCCAAGGAAGGCAGCAGGCGCGCAAAUUACCCAAUCCCGACACGGGGAGGUAGUGACAAUAAAUACUGAUACAGGGCUCUUUUGGGUCUUGUAAUUGGAAUGAGUACAAUUUAAACCUCUUAACGAGGAACAAUUGGAGGGCAAGUCUGGUGCCAGCAGCCGCGGUAAUUCCAGCUCCAAUAGCGUAUAUUAAAGUUGUUGCAGUUAAAAAGCUCGUAGUUGAAACUUGGGUCUGGCUGGCAGGUCCGCCUCACCGCGUGUACUUGUCCGGCCGGGCCUUCCUUCUGGAGAACCUCAUGCCCUUCACUGGGCGUGUUGGGGACCAGGACUUUUACUUUGAAAAAAUUAGAGUGUUCAAAGCAGGCCUUUGCUCGAAUACGUUAGCAUGGAAUAAUAGAAUAGGACGUGCGGUCCUAUUUUGUUGGUUUCUAGGACCGCCGUAAUGAUUAAUAGGGACAGUCGGGGGCAUCAGUAUUCAAUUGUCAGAGGUGAAAUUCUUGGAUUUAUUGAAGACUAACUACUGCGAAAGCAUUUGCCAAGGAUGUUUUCAUUAAUCAGUGAACGAAAGUUAGGGGAUCGAAGACGAUCAGAUACCGUCGUAGUCUUAACCGUAAACUAUGCCGACUAGGGAUCGGGCGAUGUUCUUUUUCUGACUCGCUCGGCACCUUACGAGAAAUCAA
rnacentral:rRNA from 1 species